rnacentral:rRNA from 1 species
CCUACGGGUGGCAGCAGUGAGGAAUAUUGGUCAAUGGGCGCGAGCCUGAACCAGCCAAGCCGCGUGAAGGAUGACUGCCCUACGGGUUGUAAACUUCUUUUGUAAAGGAAUAAAGUGAGGCACGUGUGCCUUAUUGUAUGUACUUUAUGAAUAAGGAUCGGCUAACUCCGUGCCGGCAGCCGCGGUAAUACGGAGGAUCCGAGCGUUAUCCGGAUUUAUUGGGUUUAAAGGGAGCGUAGAGGGGUUGUUAAGUCCGUUGUGAAAGGCUGGGGCUCAACCGUAAAACUGCAUUUGAAACUGGCAGCCUUGAGUACAGUAGAGGUAGGCGGAAUGCGUAGUGUAGCGGUGAAAUGCUUAGAUAUCACGAAGAACUCCGAUGGCGAAGGCAGCUUACUAAACUGCCACUGACAUUGAGGCUCGAAAGUGUGGGUAUCAAACAGGAUUAGAUACCCCAGUAGUC